UACGGAGGGUGCAAGCGUUAUCCGGAUUCACUGGGUUUAAAGGGUGCGUAGGUGGGUCUGUAAGUCAGUGGUGAAAUCUUCGAGCUUAACUCGGAAACUGCCAUUGAUACUAUAGAUCUUGAAUACCGUGGAGGUCAGCGGAAUAUGUCAUGUAGCGGUGAAAUGCUUAGAUAUGACAUAGAACACCAAUUGCGAAGGCAGCUGGCUACACGAAUAUUGACACUGAUGCACGAAAGCGUGGGGAUCAAACAGG
rnacentral:rRNA from 1 species